GACUUUUGACCUUAAGCAAAACUGUAAUAUCAGUAUUGCUAGUCUAUUAACUAUUGAAAGAAACACCUAAAAACAUGGAUUUAGUAGCUUCCGAGAAGCAGAGAUGCAUAACUGCCAGAUUUCAUUUAAUUUAAUGCAGUAAAAUGCAAUAUUGAAAAUUACCCUUUCCUGGACAUAUAUAAUUAUAUCAAAUUUGAAUAAGAUUUGCAGAUUUGGGUCAAGUCCUUUAAAACUUUUUUGAUAAGCAUGGUUUCUUUGAGCAUUUGUAAGCUCCCAUAAUUUUGGCUUUUCUCUUUAUAGUUGAUGCGCCAGUGUCUACUGAAAUUUUAUUUUUAGGAUCCUUAGGAACUGCUGAGAAAUCAACAAGUCAAAUUGAAACCAAAACAAUAAAAAUAAAGAUCCGAAAUGUUUAUUAACCAAUAUCUGGACACUUUCGCUGCAAAUAAAAUUGAGAGGCAAAUGAACAGGACAAUCUAUAAUGUAAAUGGAAUGCUCAAACAAAAUUUAAUAUAUAAAAAUUAAAGAUUUCAUUUAAAAUAGGGAAGACUUUUGAGAAAAUACAAAUGAUUUUAGACAAAUUUGGAAGUUUUGAGAUUAUAUAACAAAAUUUUCGAUUAUUACAUUAUAAUGCAUUUUAACAGAAAAUAAACUUUAAUCAUUUUGGUGGUAAAUUAUAUUUUGUUUUGCAUAAUAAAAAAAUUAUUCUAUACAGUAA